rnacentral:pre_miRNA from 1 species
GGGAGUGUUUCUCUGGCAGUGUCUUAGCUGGUUGUUGUGAGGGAGAGAACGAAGCAAUCAGCAAGUAUACUGCCGCAGAAACUCUUCGC